rnacentral:rRNA from 1 species
GAUGAACGCUGGCGGCGUGCCUAAUACAUGCAAGUCGAGCGAACAGACGAGGAGCUUGCUCCUCUGACGUUAGCGGCGGACGGGUGAGUAACACGUGGAUAACCUACCUAUAAGACUGGGAUAACUUCGGGAAACCGGAGCUAAUACCGGAUAAUAUUUUGAACCGCAUGGUUCAAUAGUGAAAGACGGUUUUGCUGUCACUUAUAGAUGGAUCCGCGCUGCAUUAGCUAGUUGGUAAGGUAACGGCUUACCAAGGCAACGAUGCGUAGCCGACCUGAGAGGGUGAUCGGCCACACUGGAACUGAGACACGGUCCAGACUCCUACGGGAGGCAGCAGUAGGGAAUCUUCCGCAAUGGGCGAAAGCCUGACGGAGCAACGCCGCGUAAGUGAUGAAGGUCUUCGGAUCGUAAAACUCUGUUAUUAGGGAAGAACAAAUGUGUAAGUAACUAUGCACGUCUUGACGGUACCUAAUCAGAAAGCCACGGCUAACUACGUG